AGUGAACGCUGGCGGUAGGCCUAACACAUGCAAGUCGAACGGCAGCACAGUAAGAGCUUGCUCUUACGGGUGGCGAGUGGCGGACGGGUGAGGAAUACAUCGGAAUCUACUUUUUCGUGGGGGAUAACGUAGGGAAACUUACGCUAAUACCGCAUACGACCUACGGGUGAAAGCAGGGGAUCUUCGGACCUUGCGCGAUUGAAUGAGCCGAUGUCGGAUUAGCUAGUUGGCGGGGUAAAGGCCCACCAAGGCGACGAUCCGUAGCUGGUCUGAGAGGAUGAUCAGCCACACUGGAGCGGAGACACGGUCCAGACUCCUACGGGAGGCAGCAGUGGGGAAUAUUGGACAAUGGGCGCAAGCCUGAUCCAGCCAUACCGCGUGGGUGAAGAAGGCCUUCGGGUUGUAAAGCCCUUUUGUUGGGAAAGAAAAGCAGCAGGUUAAUACCCCGCCGUUCUGACGGUACCCAAAGAAUAAGCACCGGCUAACUUCGUG
rnacentral:rRNA from 1 species